rnacentral:lncRNA from 1 species
CCUGCUCUGAACAUCCUGGGAUGUGGGGAUGGGAGAGUAGAGAGGCAGUUACAUCUCUGGGGUUCUUUCAGGGAAAAGUCUCUGUCCUAUGAGCUUCCUGGAAUCAAGGCCUGAAAAAAAUCUCCUCCUUCACCAUUGCCUUUCCAGGGGAAGAUGUUUCUGAGAGAUGUUUAUGGGCAUUCUUUAACGAGCGCAGGUACCAGGUGCCUUCAGUGGCACUACUGGUUUCAUCCGCUUCAGAGCUGUCUCUCUAGAUAACUGCUAUUCAUGGGUCACAUUUCACGGAAAUCUGUUGAAGAUCGCAGGGGCAGGCCCAGUGGAGCGUGCUCUUGGAGUCUGUUCGUUUCAAAAUGGCAGCCGCCCUCACCCUCAGCGGAACUUCCAAAUCCAGAGGCCUCUAUCCCUUUCAGUUGGGCACCAACAGUUGGUUCCAAGAAGUCACAUCAACCAAAUAUUUCUUAAGGACUAGGCAAAUAAACGGAAGAAAUGGUCUGUUCCAGGGAAACAGCUGGAUUCAUACUGAACUGGCAGACACUACACGCGUUCUACAGAGAAGAAAGAGGAUAAUGGUAAAGCAGACUGCAGUCUUCAGGCCUGGAGCAGAAAAGGGAGAGUUCCUGCUUUAGGAGCAAACGAUGGGAAUGACCUGGAAUCUAACCCUCUACAGUUCAGACACACCACUGUCCACUUGUUCCUCCCUCCCUGCCACUGGCUCUGCCAGCGUACCUUGUGUACUUUGCAAAGGUCACUGGCUCCUGUUUUAUGUAAUGACUGACAGGCGAUCCUGCCCAGCUCAGCAAUGUGAACAGACACCUUUGUUUGGUGCCGGUGGUGGGUGCGGUUGUUUCUGGAUGUCAUGGAAGAGGCUGGGGCAUUCCAGGGCUUUCCCCAAUUGUGC